GAUGAACGCUGGCGGCGUGCCUAAUACAUGCAAGUCGAGCGAACGGACGAGAAGCUUGCUUUUCUGAUGUUAGCGGCGGACGGGUGAGUAACACGUGGAUAACCUACCUAUAAGACUGGGAUAACUUCGGGAAACCGGAGCUAAUACCGGAUAAUAUUUUGAACCGCAUGGUUCAAAAGUGAAAGACGGUCUUGCUGUCACUUAUAGAUGGAUCCGCGCUGCAUUGGCUAGUUGGUAAGGUAACGGCUUACCAAGGCAACGAUGCAUAGCCGACCUGAGAGGGUGAACGGCCGCACUGGAACUGAGACACGGUCCAGACUCCUACGGGAGGCAGCAGUAGGGAAUCUUCCGCAAUGGGCGAAAGCCUGACGGAGCAACGCCGCGUGAGUGAUGAAGGUCUUCGGAUCGUAAAACUCUGUUAUUAGGGAAGAACAUAUGUGUAAGUAACUGUGCACAUCUUGACGGUACCUAAUCAGAAAGCCACGGCUAACUACGUG
rnacentral:rRNA from 1 species